rnacentral:rRNA from 1 species
AUUGCCCUAGUAACGGCGAGUGAAGCGGCAACAGCUCAAAUUUGAAAUCUGGCUCCUUUGGGGUCCGAGUUGUAAUUUGCAGAGGGAGCUUUUGGCGUCGGUCGUGGUCUAAGUUCCUUGGAACAGGACGUCACAGAGGGUGAGAAUCCCGUACGUGGCCGCCGGCCUUCGCCUUGUAAAGCCCCUUCGACGAGUCGAGUUGUUUGGGAAUGCAGCUCUAAAUGGGAGGUAAAUUUCUUCUAAAGCUAAAUACCCGCCAGAGACCGAUAGCGCACAAGUAGAGUGAUCGAAAGAUGAAAAGCACUUUGGAAAGAGAGUGAAAAAGCACGUGAAAUUGUUGAAAGGGAAGCGCUUGCGGCCAGACGUGCCCGCGGUUGAUCAUCCAGGCUCCAGCCUGGUGCACUCCUCCGCGGGCAGGCCAGCAUCAGUUCGGGCGGUCGGAUAAAGGCCUCUAUCACGUACCACCCCUCGGGGUGGCCUUAUAGGGGAGGCGCAACACGGCCAGCCCGGACUGAGGUUCCGCGCAUCUGCUAGGAUGCUGGCGUAAUGGCAGCAAGCGGCCCGUCUUGAAACACGGACCAAGGAGUCUAACAUCUAUGCGAGUGUUUGGGUGUCAAGCCCGAGCGCGCAAUGAAAGUGAACGGAGGUGGGAACCCUUACCGGUGCACCAUCGACCGAUCCUGAUGUCUUCGGAUGGAUUUGAGUAAGAGCAUAGCUUUUGGGACCCGAAAGAUGGUGAACUAUGCCUGAAUAGGGUGAAGCCAGAGAAAACUCUGGUGGAAGCUCCCAGCGGUUCUAACGGGCAAAUCGAUCGUCAAAUU